rnacentral:rRNA from 1 species
GACGAACGCUGGCGGCGUGCUCAACACAUGCAAGUCGAACGGUGAAGCGCCUUCCUUUUUGGUGGGUGUGGAUGAGUGGCGAACGGGUGAGUAACACGUGAGUAACCUGCCCCCUUCUUCUGGAUAACCGCAUGAAAGUGUGGCUAAUACGGGAUAUUCUGGGUCUGUCGCAUGAUGGGUCUGGGAAAGAUAUUGUUUCGGUGGGGGAUGGGCUCGCGGCCUAUCAGCUUGUUGGUGGGGUGAUGGCCUACCAAGGCGGUGACGGGUAGCCGGCCUGAGAGGGUGGACGGUCACACUGGGACUGAGACACGGCCCAGACUCCUACGGGAGGCAGCAGUGGGGAAUAUUGCACAAUGGGCGCAAGCCUGAUGCAGCGACGCCGCGUGAGGGAUGGAGGCCUUCGGGUUGUGAACCUCUUUCGCCAGUGAAGCAGGCCUGCCUCGUUUGUGGGUGGGUUGACGGUAGCUGGAUAAGAAGCGCCGGCUAACUACGUG